rnacentral:tRNA from 1 species
UGAAGAGUAGCCAAGUAGGUAAGGCGAAGGACUUUGACUCCUUUAUGCGUGGGUUCGAGUCCCUCCUCUUCAG